GACGAACGCUGGCGGCGUGCUUAACACAUGCAAGUCGAACGAAGGCGCGAACGGGUGAGUAACGCGUAAACAACCUGCCCUUCAGCGGGGUACAACAGUUGGAAACGACUUCUAAUACCGCAUACUGAAGGAGGGGCUUGCGUCUGAUUAGCUAGUUGGAGGGGUAACGGCCCACCAAGGCGAAGAUCAGUAGCCGGUCUGGGAGGAUGAACGGCCACAUGUGGACUGGGAGACGGCCCAGACUCCGACGGGAGGAAGCAGUGGAGAAUCGUGCGCAAUGGACGAAAGUCUGAAGGAGCAACGCCGCGUGAGUGAUGACGGCCUUCGGGUUGUAAAGCUCUGUUAAUCGGGACGCGGUACCGGAAUAGAAAGCCACGGCUAACUACGUGCCAGCAGCCGCGGUAAUUC
rnacentral:rRNA from 1 species